UACGUAGGGUGCGAGCGUUAAUCGGAAUUACUGGGCGUAAAGCGUGCGCAGGCGGUUUUGUAAGCCAGAUGUGAAAUCCCCGGGCUUAACCUGGGAAUGGCAUUUGGGACUGCAAGGCUUGAGUGCGGCAGAGGAGACUGGAAUUCCUGGUGUAGCAGUGAAAUGCGUAGAUAUCAGGAGGAACACCGAUGGCGAAGGCAGGUCUCUGGGCUGACACUGACGCUCAUGCACGAAAGCGUGGGGAGCGAAACAAACGGUU
rnacentral:rRNA from 1 species